GGCGGUGUUUGGCACCUCGAUGUCGGCUCAUCACAUCCUGGGGCUGAAGUAGGUCCCAAGGGUAUGGCUGUUCGCCAUUUAAAGUGGUACGCGAGCUGGGUUUAGAACGUCGUGAGACAGUUCGGUCCCUAUCUGCCGUGGGCGCUGGAGAACUGAGGGGGGCUGCUCCUAGUACGAGAGGACCGGAGUGGACGCAUCACUGGUGUUCGGGUUGUCAUGCCAAUGGCACUGCCCGGUAGCUAAAUGCGGAAGAGAUAAGUGCUGAAAGCAUCUAAGCACGAAACUUGCCCCGAGAUGAGUUCUCCCUGACCCUUUAAGGGUCCUGAAGGAACGUUGAAGACGACGACGUUGAUAGGCCGGGUGUGUAAGCGCAGCGAUGCGUUGAGCUAACCGGUACUAAUGAACCGUGAGGCUUAACCUUACAACGCCGAAG
rnacentral:rRNA from 1 species